UACGGAGGGUGCAAACGUUGCUCGGAAUCAUUGGGCGUAAAGCGCACGUAGGCGGAGCAGUAAGUCGGAUGUGAAAGCCCUCGGCUCAACCGAGGAAGUGCAUUCGAAACUGCUGUGCUUGAGUACGGAAGAGGGUCUCGGAAUUCCCGGUGUAGAGGUGAAAUUCGUAGAUAUCGGGAGGAACACCAGUGGCGAAGGCGGAGACCUGGGCCGAUACUGAAGCUGAGGUGCGAAAGCGUUUGGCGCAAACAGG
rnacentral:rRNA from 1 species